UCCCUGGUGGCUCACAUGGUAGAGUCUGCCUGCCAUGCAGGAGACCUGGGUUCAAUUCCUGGGUGGGGAA
rnacentral:tRNA from 1 species